rnacentral:rRNA from 1 species
AUUGAACGCUGGCGGCAUGCCUAACACAUGCAAGUCGAACGGUAACAGGCCCUUCGGGGCGCUGACGAGUGGCGGACGGGUGAGUAAUGCUUAGGAAUCUGCCUAGUAGUGGGGGAGUAACCCGGGAAACGUCGGCGUAAUACCGCAUACGUCCUACGGGAGAAAGCGGGGGACCGUUCGGCCGUCGCGCUAUUAGAUGAGCCUAAGUCCGAUUAGCUAGUUGGUAGGGUAACGGCCUACCAAGGCGACGANCGGUAGCUGGUCUGAGAGGACGACCAGCCACACUGGGACGUGAGACACGGCCC